rnacentral:tRNA from 1 species
GCAGUCGUGGCGGAGUGGUUAAGGCGAUGGGCUAGAAAUCCAUUGGGGUCUCCCCGCACAGGUUCGAAUCCUGUCGACUGCG